AGGGUUUGAUCCUGGCUCAGAUUGAACGCUGGCGGCAGGCUUAACACAUGCAAGUCGAGCGGAAACGAUCCUAGCUUGCUAGGAGGCGUCGAGCGGCGGACGGGUGGGUAACGCGUAGGAAUUUGCCCAGUAGUGGGGGAUAGCCCGGGGAAACCCGGAUUAAUACCGCAUACGCCCUAAGGGGGAAAGCAGGGGAUCUUCGGACCUUGCGCUAUUGGAUGAGCCUGCGUCGGAUUAGCUAGUUGGUGGGGUAAAGGCCUACCAAGGCGACGAUCCGUAGCUGGUCUGAGAGGAUGAUCAGCCACACCGGGACUGAGACACGGCCCGGACUCCUACGGGAGGCAGCAGUGGGGAAUAUUGGACAAUGGGGGCAACCCUGAUCCAGCCAUGCCGCGUGUGUGAAGAAGGCUUUCGGGUUGUAAAGCACUUUCAGUGGGGAGGAAAUGCCGGAGAUUAAUACUUUCUGGCUUUGACGUUACCCACAGAAGAAGCACCGGCUAACUCCGUGCCAGCAGCCGCGGUAAUACGGAGGGUGCAAGCGUUAAUCGGAAUUACUGGGCGUAAAGCGCGCGUAGGCGGUUAGAUCAGUCGGGUGUGAAAGCCCCGGGCUCAACCUGGGAACUGCAUUCGAUACUGUCUGACUGGAGUAUGGGAGAGGGUAGUGGAAUUCCACGUGUAGCGGUGAAAUGCGUAGAUAUGUGGAGGAACACCUGUGGCGAAGGCGGCUACCUG
rnacentral:rRNA from 1 species